rnacentral:rRNA from 1 species
UACGUAGGUGGCAAGCGUUGUCCGGAUUCAUUGGGCGUAAAGGGUGCGUAGGCGGGCCUUUAAGUCAGGGGUGAAAUCCUGGAGCUCAACUCCAGAACUGCCUUUGAUACUGAAGAUCUUGAGUUCGGGAGAGGUGAGUGGAACUGCGAGUGUAGAGGUGAAAUUCGUAGAUAUUCGCAAGAACACCAGUGGCGAAGGCGGCUCACUGGCCCGAUACUGACGCUGAGGCACGAAAGCGUGGGGAGCAAACAGG